rnacentral:rRNA from 1 species
GAUGAACGCUGUCUACAGGCUUAACACAUGCAAGUCGAGGGGAAACGACGGGGAAGCUUGCUUCCCCGGGCGUCGACCGGCGCACGGGUGAGUAACGCGUAUCCAACCUGCCUCUGACUGAGGGAUAACCCGUCGAAAGUCGGCCUAAUACCUCAUGGCAUCGUCUGCGGGCAUCCAACGACGAUUAAAGAUUUCAUCGGUCAGGGAUGGGGAUGCGUCUGAUUAGCUUGUUGGCGGGGUAACGGCCCACCAAGGCUACGAUCAGUAGGGGUUCUGAGAGGAAGGUCCCCCACAUUGGAACUGAGACACGGUCCAAACUCCUACGGGAGGCAGCAGUGAGGAAUAUUGGUCAAUGGGCGGGAGCCUGAACCAGCCAAGUAGCGUGCAGGAUGACGGCCCUAUGGGUUGUAAACUGCUUUUAUGCGGGGAUAAAGUGAGGGACGUGUCCUUCAUUGCAGGUACCGCAUGAAUAAGGACCGGCUAAUUCCAUG